CGCCCCUCAAAGGCUGCAAUGACUCAGUCCUGUACCCUUCCAUAGCCAGGCUCAUGGCUGCCAGGGGCUUCCGAGCUUGCUUUUCUCUGGGACUCUACUGCUUUCUGCACAGAAGACCCAGCACUCACCCCAGACCAGCCCUGAAGAUAGUCUACUGACUUUAGAGGAAAGAGCUCCCGAGAGCACAAGUCCCCCUCCAGUUUACUGCAUCCAUGAGUUUAAGGCCAUGGUCCUUGUUAAUCUCCGCUGUGAGGGCAUCUGCAAACACUCUUGUUUACAGGUGCGAUGAUGGAAGGGCCCUGGGGAAAGACAGUGUGGGCAGAUUGAUGUAAAAUGUUGCCAUUCCCAGGGUAAUCACAGCUAAGAAAGAAGUGGCAGGUCACCUCAUCUAGAGAAAAAGAUGGCAUCCUGCUGUUACAGAACUGAACUGAACUGAACUGAACUGAACCCAGUGUCAAAAGCUUUAAUUUUGCAAUAUAAUUCUGCAAUAAAGUAAUGACAAG
rnacentral:lncRNA from 1 species